rnacentral:rRNA from 1 species
UUGGUGUUGGGACUCGCGUUAAUUCCGUUCCCCAAAUUGAUUGGCGGUCACGUCGAGCUUCCAUAGCGUAGUAGUAAAACCCUCGUUACUGGUAAUCGUCGCGGCCACGCCGUUAAACCCCAACUUCUGAAUGUUGACCUCGGAUCAGGUAGGAAUACCCGCUGAACUUAAGCAUAUCAAUAAGCGGAGGAAAAGAAACCAACAGGGAUUGCCCUAGUAACGGCGAGUGAAGCGGCAACAGCUCAAAUUUGAAAUCUGGCUCUCGGGCCCGAGUUGUAAUUUGUAGAGGAUACUUUUGAUGCGGUGCCUUCCGAGUUCCCUGGAACGGGACGCCAUAGAGGGUGAGAGCCCCGUCUGGUUGGAUGCCAAAUCUCUGUAAAGUUCCUUCAACGAGUCGAGUAGUUUGGGAAUGCUGCUCUAAAUGGGGGGUAUAUGUCUUCUAAAGCUAAAUACCGGCCAGAGACCGAUAGCGCACAAGUAGAGUGAUCGAAAGAUGAAAAGCACUUUGAAAAGAGAGUUAAAAAGUACGUGAAAUUGUUGAAAGGGAAGCGUUUAUGACCAGACUUGGGCUUGGUUAAUCAUCUGGGGUUCUCCCCAGUGCACUUUUCCAGUCCAGGCCAGCAUCAGUUUUCCCCGGGGGA